CCGGCGAGUGGCGAACGGGUGAGUAAUGCAUCGGAACGUGUCCUGUUGUGGGGGAUAACUGAUCGAAAGAUCAGCUAAUACCGCAUGAGACCUGAGGGUGAAAGCGGGGGAUCGCAAGACCUCGCGCGACAGGAGCGGCCGAUGUCUGAUUAGCUAGUUGGUGAGAUAAAAGCUUACCAAGGCGACGAUCAGUAGCUGGUCUGAGAGGAUGAUCAGCCACAUUGGGACUGAGACACGGCCCAGACUCC
rnacentral:rRNA from 1 species